rnacentral:sRNA from 2 species
AUCAUGGGAACAUAAGCCUUAUGGAUCGUCAAGUCAACAACUCACCUCCAGCUCCUGGUCUAAACGCCGCAGAGCGCUCAGCAACUCCGGGUUCUCCUCAGCCAUGAUCGCAGAUGUGGGCAGUUGGGCAGAGUGCGGGUAAGUAGACCUCCCAACAGGCUGACGGCUGGAGCACGGAAUCUCAGGACAUCGGCGCCCGCGGUUUGCCAGGUCAAUGAGAAACGAAGCACGGCCAGCAGUCGCGCACACAGCGAGAGGGACGAUCGGGUUGGCUCCAGUGGUAUGGUGCCAGGAACGGAGGCUGAAACACGAAACGGUCCGCGCACAAACGUUUUGCGGAGGAAAUGAUCAAAGGAUGACGGACUUU